AAGGAGACAGGGAAUCCGAAGCCGGCUUCUGGUCUCUAAACUGCUAAGCAAGGAGCUCGGAGCUUGAUGCGGGGCUUGAACUCCCAAACCGCAAGAUCAUGACCUGAGCUGAAGUCGGACGCUCAACCGACUGAGCCACCCCGGCUCCCCUUGGGAACUUAAUUCUGAGUGAACAAAGCCCAACACAGAAGGCCGCAUGUGUGAUUUCGUGCAUAUGAGAUGUCCAGACUAGGUGACGAAAAUGUCCUGGAAGAUCUUGGUGAUGGUUGCACAAGACUGUGGGUAUACCAGAGACCGCUGACGUGCCCACUUUAGAAAGAUGCAGCUUUACGGUUGUGUGAAUUAUAUCUCAAAUUUUUUUUUUUUAAGUAGAAAACACCGGUAGCCAUCCUAAGUCCGUGCGAGAGAGCGCCACCACGAUCAGAGAAUGAAAGCUCUAUCUGGCUGUGGUGCUUGGACAACGUGGCGUAGUUAGCUGGGCCAAGGGAGGCAGAGAAGAGCUGCGGAGGCAGAGGGACAGCAGUGCAAAGGUCCUGGGGCCCAGGCGAGUCGGAGCUAAGGCCUGUGUUGCUGGUGCACAGAGGGACGGGACAGGACAGGAUCUGAUUGGCAGAUGGGCAGGGCCAACUUGGUGUCCGUCCUGGGAGCCCUGGGGAGGGUUUCAAGCUGGAGUGAGGGAGCCGAAGGCCCAAAGGAUGUGGAUGGGCCGGGGGCUGAGCAGGUGGAGGAGGGGGAGGAGUGUUGAGCCAUCCUGCUGGGGAAUCGGAAGGGCAGAGUGGAGUUCAAUGGGAUGACUCUAGCAGGAGAUGAAAGGCAGGCUUCGAGAGGGGCGGCAGGAAGGACAGAUUCUGGUGAUAAGAAAGGGAAAGUUUGAGGCUGGACCUAGCCCGAGGGCUUCGUCCUGUGCUGUCCAGAGCAGGAAUCUGCCUCCCGGUCACUUAAGCUGCCUGGGAGCUCCGUGCCCGGCUGGGGCGGCCCUCUCUCUAGGGCCCCAGCUGCCCCAGGCCUGAGGAGAGUUGGCCAGUGAGUGAAUGAGCAGGGGGGUAUGCUGGGUUGUCACAGUGCUACUCCAAAUUGUGACCCGUUCCAUCUGUGACAUCUCCCCCACCCCUGGAGCACAGGCCUACCUACUCCGAUCCUUCCUGGUCUCCAGUUCUGCCCCCUGACUGCCCGCUGUGACACCCCACCGGCGCGUCCUCGAGAGAGGUUUGCCAGUUGGAUGAAUAAGGAAAUGAGUGAAUGAAUGGACCACCCAAUCUCCACCAAGCACCAGCUGGGCCCCCAGAUUCAGAGACGACAUCCUCAGCUCCCUGGCACCCUCCUUCUGACAGCUCCCAGCCUGACCCCUCUCCAGUGAUGACCGUGGCUCCGUCAUCCAAUGCCAUAGAUCCAGCGUGUCAUUGCCACUUAAACCCCAUCUCAGUGCGGAACAGCCACAUUUCAGGUGCUCAGGCGCUAUCUGGCUGGGGACCGUCGUAUUGGACAAUGCAGCUCAGGGGCCGCUAAUCAGAGGGGGCUUCCUGGAGUAGGUGAUAGCUGCAGUGAGGCUUGUGGGAGCUUCCCUGGAAGUUCAGAGUGGGAGGUGCGGCAGGAUUUCUAAAGACAAGGAGAGCUCAGACCCUCACUGGUUCAUUCCUUCUUUCACCUGUUUAUUCAUUCAUUGUGCACUGGAGCCUCCCGGGGGGUUGGCCACAUGCUGAGGGAAGCGGACAACACGGCCAGACACGGCCAUGGGUCUGAGCGGGCCACCGCUCUUCAGAUGACCAGCCAUUAUUAAGCACUUGCUGUAUACCAGGCACUGUUCUAAAAGCUCCCUCGUGAUGCUCAUAAUCUGAAGUGGAAGCCAAAAUGAGACCAUAAAUAUAAAUAAAACAGUUACAUGGUGUGAAA